UCUCUUUUCUUAGUGUCUAGGCCAAAAUGGGCAUGACAGACGAGUUUGAAGCUUCUUUAUAAGUACUAUGGGGAUUUGAUACUGACAUUUCUUUUGAAGUGAAUGAAAUCAAGAGAUCUGGAACUUCUUCAAGCAGGAGAACAACCAUCUGAUUUUCUGAUCUCAAGCAAAGAAGAUAUUAGUUUCCAUUCCAUGAUAUAUGUUCAUCGAGUUGAAGGAGGCAGAGGUUCUGAAGAAACAGCUGCAAAAGAAUGAAGAUUUUGGAUUUUGGGGGCAUUUGACAAAAAAAAUUUAAAAAAAGAAAGAAAGAAAAAGAG